CUCCGCGCCCGCCUCGGCCGGCCGACCGGCUCGCUCGGCACGCGCCGGCCCCGCUCGCCUUCGCUUCGGCCGCGAGCAGCAGCAGCAGCAGCAGCAGCGUCUCCGCCUUCCUCGCUCCCGCCGCGGCGUCUUCCCGGGAAGUUCGCGGCGGGGCCGGCCGCGCCGCUCCUCCGUCCCCGGCCAGGCUCGGCCAUGCGGGGGCGCCGCGUCCUUGGCGGCGGCGGCGGCGGGGGCGGCCGCUGCUGCGCUCGGCGGGGCCGCCUGGCCGCCCCGACGGCCUCCCCCGGCGUGACUCGGGCUCCGGGCCGGGGCUGAACCGGACGGGUUUCUGCCCGGCUCGCCCACCCCGCCGCCGCCAGGAUGGGCUACACGGACCCGACCUUCAACCGGGACCUGCUGGGGAACCGAACUUUGCUCUUCAUUUUCGUCUGCGCCUUCGCCCUGGUCACCCUGCUGCAGCAGAUCCUCUCCGGGAGGAACUACCUGAAGAGCCUGUGGUGUGAACGGAGCCUUGCAGGUCAUCUCUCAGGUGAGCCGCACUUUAGCUGGCAGAGGGAUGAGGAACGGGCGAACUGGACCAACAGCUCCAAUUUCAUGGAUGGUGGAGUUCUGAGGAGUGGAAAUGGCCCAGGCAGCAGGUACUUUGAAUAUUAUGACGGUCCUUUUGAGUACAACUCUACAAAAUGUGUGGAUCUAAGGCGGGAAAUAAUGGCAUUGAAGGUUCUGACGGUAGCGAAGCAGACCGAAUUGUUCGAAAGAUGGAGGAACCUUCAGAUCUGCAAAUGGGAGAUGAAUAUCACAGAGGCCAAGUUCUUCAAGUCUACUUUGUCCAGAUGUUGCAAUGCACCAGCAUUCCUCUUCACCACACAAAAGAACACACCCCUGGGAACAGACUUGAAAUACGAAGUGGAUACCAGCGGCAUUUUCCAUAUCAACGUCGAAGUAUUCAGAAUGUUUCCUAAGGAGAUGCCCUAUUCUCGUUCCCAGUUUAAGAAAUGUGCAGUGGUUGGAAACGGAGGAAUUUUGAAGAACAGCGGAUGUGGUCAGGAGAUCGACAAUGCCGAUUUUGUGUUACGAUGCAAUUUGCCGCCCAUAUCGAGGAAGUACGAGGCAGAUGUCGGUGUGAAGACUAACGUGGUGACGGUCAACCCGAGCAUAAUAACCGAAAGGUUCCAGAGGCUGGAGAAAUGGAGGCGGCCCUUUUACCAAGUCUUGAAAGCGUACGAAAACGCCUCCGUGUUGCUCCCGGCCUUCUACAACACCCACAACACCGACGUCUCCAUCAGGGUCAGGUACGUCCUGGACGACUUCGAAUCCAAGAAGGCCGUCUACUUUUUCCACCCCAAAUAUCUCACCAACGUCUCGCGCUACUGGCUGACGCAAGGGGUGCGGGCCAAGCGGGUCACCACGGGGCUGAUCCUGGCGACGGCCGCCUUGGAGCUGUGCGAAGAGGUCCACCUCUUUGGAUUCUGGGGUUUCUCCAUGAACCCCUCAGGGACGUUCAUCACUCACCAUUACUAUGACAACGUCAAACCUCGGCCCGGGUUCCACGCGAUGCCUUCGGAGAUGCUCAACUUCCUCCGCCUGCACAGCAGGGGGGUUUUACGAGUCCACACGGACGCCUGCAGCUACUCCUGAUCCCCCGUUCUCGACGGGUGGAUUCGUGUUUCUUUUUUUCUCUCUCUUCUUUUUUUUUUUUAAAAAAAGAAAGUGAAAUAAUGGGUGUUUCGGGGGUCCUGGGCCACAUCCCUGAAGCAGGAACGUCGCGGAGGGGGUGUGGGAUACGUUGGGCCGGGCGCUCGGUUCACACGGAUUUUAACGCUUCGAGGAAAAUUACGCAAUAAUUUUCGAGCUUCGGUUCCUCGCCGGGUUUUGCUUCCCUUCGGAGUCGGGGGGGUCCCGCCGCCCUCCUCCACUCGCCAGACGUGUCGGGCUGUUUGUGGUCUCUCGGGGGAAGCCCCGCUCAGCGUUGUAGGAAUAAGGAGCACCCCGCCCCGGAGCCUCCUACAAGUAAAGCACAUUAGCUCAAGAUUUUUCCAGUAGAAAUAACAGCACAUCGCUACCAGGGUUUGUGUGUAUUUCGUCUCUGGGACAGGAGCUGAGAAACAGGAAAUGCAGCCAGUCCUAUUCAUUCACCUGUUGGGAUUAUGCACCACUUCGCCUCCAGUGAAUUGAGCUUUAAUCAUGGAGCAAAAGGCCACCAAGGAGAAAACUACUAUUUAUAAACAGGGAGAAAACCCUACACUCAACUGACACUGAUGAUGUUACCUAGUUGGGUAACGAGAUGUCUACACAUAAACAACCAAGCUCAGACAGCACUAAGGACUCUGCAGAUCAGUUCUGAGCUACAUGAUGUCUAUUCUACCGUGUUUUUGAGUGUUUGUCAGAAAUUGUUCAUGAAAAUACAGAAAGGAAACAGAAAACAGUAAUGGGAAAUACGGUGUCUUCUGUGAGAGAGACUGUUUAGUCUUGUGUUAUUAACAUAGCUUAAGAUGCAAAUCAAAAAAUGCAAUAUACAUGUACAAUUGAUUGUAUUUGUCUGGCUUGGAUCCAGUUAAGGUAUUUGGAAGAAGGGGAAAAAAAUAUUUUGCAGUUGAUAGAUCCAUUCAUGGUCCUGUUUUUAACCCACUAUUCCUUUGCUCAAACCCUCAAAACUAUAAUUUGGAUUUUUUUUCCUCUCUCUCUCUUUAAUGUAUUGUACGAUGCGAACAAAAGCCUAUAAUUUGAUGUAAGCCAUAUCUUUUGAAAAAUAGCAAAUCAGGGUUAUUUUCAUCAGCUACUGUGUUAACUAUGCUUGAGAGACAAACAUUUAAUAAAUAAAACCAGUUCUGUCAAUUCCAUUUGAAAAA